GAGAUAAAGAGAUUCAUUGUUUAAUUUGGAUAGAGAUGCAUUGUACAAAAGCUUGUAAACUGGGUCAUACUUUGAAUUUAGGGAGUAAAGUUGAAAGAAGGCUAAAGAAGGAAAGGAGAUUAUUCUUGCUGUUGCCUUCUUUUUCAGAUGGUGGGUGCUCUUGGGUAAGGAUGCCCCCCCUACCCUUCUUCAAUAAAUUCACCAACGAUCAUUAUUUCAGUGUCUUCUUCCUUCAUCUUUCCCUGUGAGGUUUCGAUCGUCUAGCGACUUAGGGUCACAUAACCUUCCCACAAAAUUUUAGCGUUUUAUGUAUUGGACAAUGAUCAAGAUGAACCAAUAAUUACUUUUUGUUUUACAUAUCUAUGUGGGAAAAUUCAUCCCAAUAUGUUUUUGAAAUAAAGCCAGAUCAUAGAAGUCAUCAAAAGGCAACAAAAAUAAUCAAAGGAAUGGCAACUAGCAUCCCCAACAGCACAUUGAGCUUUCCUCCUUUUGUUGACUGCUUUCACCCUUCUUCAAACCAAGAUUAAUCAAAUGUGACAGAUUUUGAAGGCCUCAAGAAUCUAAUGAAUUGUUACGGGGAAAAUUUUGUAUCUAUCAUAGACAAAGGGUGAGGAAUAGCAACAUAAAUCGUCAAAGAUGGCUCUAGUUGGAAGAAAAGGACCCAAUUCCACAUGGACGAUUUGGCAAGUGGGCUCGGAGGAUGUAGCCACCAUGGUUAGUGGCCUUUCUUUCUCUUCCUGGUUUCAUGGCCUUCAUAAGCUCUCUCUCUGUCCAUACCCCAGAGAAAGAGGGGGAGAAUGGGGCAUUUUUGGGAAGUGUGGGUUACAGCUCGGGGAAAAAAAAAAAAAAAAAA